rnacentral:rRNA from 1 species
GACGAACGCUGGCGGCGUGCCUAAUACAUGCAAGUAGAACGCUGAAGGAGGAGCUUGCUUCUCUGGAUGAGUUGCGAACGGGUGAGUAACGCGUAGGUAACCUGCCUGGUAGCGGGGGAUAACUAUUGGAAACGAUAGCUAAUACCGCAUAAUAGUAGAUGUCGCAUGACAUUUGCUUAAAAGGUGCAAUUGCAUCACUACCAGAUGGACCUGCGUUGUAUUAGCUAGUUGGUGAGGUAACGGAUCACCAAGGCAACGAUACAUAGCCGACCUGAGAGGGUGAUCGGCCACACUGGGACUGAGACACGGCCCAGACUGCUACGGGAGGCAGCAGUAGGGAAUCGUCGGCAAUGGACGGAAGUCUGACCGAGCAACGCCGCGUGAGUGAAGAAGGUUUUCGGAUCGUAAAGCUCUGUUGUAAGAGAAGAAAGAGUGUGAGAGUGGAAAGUUCACACUGUGACGGUAUCUUACCAGAAAGGGACGGCUAACUACGUG